GACGAACGCUGGCGGCGUGCUUAACACAUGCGAGUCGAACGGAAAGGCCCUGCUUUUGUGGGGUGCUCGAGUGGCGAACGGGUGAGUAACGCGUGAGUAACCUGCCCUUGACUUUGGGAUAACUUCAGGAAACUGGGGCUAAUACCGGAUAGGAGCUCCUGCUGCAUGGUGGGGGUUGGAAAGUUUCGGCGGUUGGGGAUGGACUCGCGGCUUAUCAGCUUGUUGGUGGGGUAGUGGCUUACCAAGGCUUUGACGGGUAGCCGGCCUGAGAGGGUGACCGGCCACAUUGGGACUGAGAUACGGCCCAGACUCCUACGGGAGGCAGCAGUGGGGAAUAUUGCACAAUGGGCGGAAGCCUGAUGCAGCAACGCCGCGUGCGGGAUGACGGCCUUCGGGUUGUAAACCGCUUUCGCCUGUGACGAAGCGUGAGUGACGGUAAUGGGUAAAGAAGCACCGGCUAACUACGUG
rnacentral:rRNA from 1 species